AACCCUUGACAUCCCGGUCGCGAUUUCCAGAGAUGGAUUUCUUCAGUUCGGCUGGACCGGAGAC
rnacentral:rRNA from 1 species